UACGGGGGGAGCAAGCGUUGUUCGGAUUUACUGGGCGUAAAGGGCGCGUAGGCGGUCGUGACAAGUCACUUGUGAAAUCUCCGGGCUUAACUCGGAACGGUCAAGUGAUACUGUCGGACUAGAGUACAGAAGGGGCAACUGGAAUUCUCGGUGUAGCGGUGAAAUGCGUAGAUAUCGAGAGGAACACCUGCGGCGAAGGCGGGCUGCUGGGCUGAUACUGACGCUGAGGCGCGAAAGCCAGGGGAGCGAACGGG
rnacentral:rRNA from 1 species